rnacentral:rRNA from 1 species
CGCCUGGGGGAGUGCGGCCGCAAGGGUUAGAACUCAAAUGAAUUGACGGGGGCCCGCACAAGCGGUGGAGCAUGUGGUUUGAUUCGACGCAACGCGAAGAACCUUACCUGGCCUUGACAUGCAGAGAACUUUCCAGAGAUGGAUUGGUGCCUUCGGGAACUCUGACACAGGUGCUGCAUGGCCGUCGUCAGCUCGUGUCGUGAGAUGUUGGGUUAAGUCCCGUAACGAGCGCAACCCCUAUCCCUAGUUGCUAGCAGUUCGGCUGAGAACUCUAGGGAGACUGCCGGUGACAAACCGGAGGAAGGUGGGGAUGACGUCAGGUCAUCAUGGCCCUUACGGCCAGGGCUACACACGUGCUACAAUGGCGCGCACAGAGGGCUGCAAACCCGCGAGGGGGAGCCAAUCUCACAAAACGCGUCGUAGUCCGGAUCGCAGUCUGCAACUCGACUGCGUGAAGUCGGAAUCGCUAGUAAUCGUGAAUCAGAAUGUCACGGUGAAUACGUUCCCGGGCCUUGUACACACCGCCCGUCACACCAUGGGAGUGGAUUGCACCAGAAGUGGUUAGUCUAACCUUCGGGAGGACGAUCACCACGAUGUGGUUCAUGACUGGGGUGAAGUCGUAACAAGGUAACCGUA